rnacentral:rRNA from 1 species
GGUAGUCCACCCCGUAAACGUUGGGAACUAGUUGUGGGGACCAUUCCACGGUUUCCGUGACGCAGCUAACGCAUUAAGUUCCCCGCCUGGGGAGUACGGCCGCAAGGCUAAAACUCAAAGGAAUUGACGGGGACCCGCACAAGCGGCGGAGCAUGCGGAUUAAUUCGAUGCAACGCGAAGAACCUUACCAAGGCUUGACAUACACCAGAACGGGCCAGAAAUGGUCAACUCUUUGGACACUGGUGAACAGGUGGUGCAUGGUUGUCGUCAGCUCGUGUCGUGAGAUGUUGGGUUAAGUCCCGCAACGAGCGCAACCCUCGUUCUAUGUUGCCAGCACGUAAUGGUGGGAACUCAUGGGAUACUGCCGGGGUCAACCCGGAGGAAGGUGGGGAUGACGUCAAAUCAUCAUGCCCCUUAUGUCUUGGGCUUCACGCAUGCUACAAUGGCCGGUACAAAGGGCUGCAAUACCGUGAGGUGGAGCGAAUCCCAAAAAGCCGGUCCCAGUUCGGAUUGAGGUCUGCAACUCGACCUCAUGAAGUCGGAGUCGCUAGUAAUCGCAGAUCAGCAACGCCGCGGUGAAUACGUUCCCGGGUCUUGUACACACCGCCCGUCAAGUCAUGAAAGUCGGUAACACCUGAAGCCGGUGGCCCAACCCUUGUGGAGGGAGCCGUCGAAGGUGGGAUCGGUAAUUAGGACUAAGUCGUAACAAGGUAGCCGUACCGGAAGGUGC